CUGCUGCUGCUGCGGAGUCGGCGCGAACUGCUGGAGCUUCAUGGCGCCCUGGCUCACCGGCACGCCGGGGUGCGGCGCGUAGCCCGGGCCGCACAUGUACUGCUGCAUCUGCUGCUGGGCGACAUCGGUAAACAAGAUCAGAUAUAAAAUGUGCAAAGGGAGAACCUGCUGGAUUGACAUCACGGGCGCCAUAUUCCCUCUGCUGCUACAAGGGAGAUGCGAAUACGACUGAUACGGCGCCGGACCACCGCGGACCACCAUUUUCAGGAAGGGAAAGCUGUGAAUAAAAAGGAUGUAUUUGUCAGCUCAACAGCCAAAGUGUUCAAGCUUGGCAUUUAGUUAUGUACAGGGAAGGCAAAACAAGGCAUCACCUUUCCAAGGGUCCUCGGCCUCUUCCUGAUGAUCAGGCUGCUGCUGCUGCUAGGAGUGGUGGCUCUGGUGAGUGAGGAGAGGACUGCAUCGUCGUCGCGGCCUCCGUCGGAACCUUCUUCGGCCUCGCAGCUGCGGUUGUUCAUGUCGCUGUUGGUUGAUCUCCACUUCAGGGGCUUGGGUUUUUUCCCUUUCUUACGCUUGAGCUCGGCGAUGUGAUCCCCGCCCUCGCUCUCAUUUAUGUUGCUGUCUGGAAAUAGUGUUCAGAGGGGAACUGAGAUUAGAAAGGUAAUCUGAUGGAAUAGCCGUUGUCAAGCAUCAUGAUAUAGUAGUGUGCAAGGCCGUACUUCUAGUACAGUACUUGUUUCAGGUUUUUAAAGCUAUUAUCCCCCUUAAAAAAUAAAUUAAUUUUUAGACAGAAAAUAAAAGAAAUUAGAUGCACCAAUGGCUUGGAAAUAGCAGAAACUGCUGUACAAACUGUAUAGUGUGUGUUGCAAGGACAAAUUCCUGGAAAAAAAAGAGGAGAAACAGAAGACUGUGUGAUGGUUCUGUGUAAAAA